GACGAACGCUGGCGGCGUGCUUAACACAUGCAAGUCGAACGGAAAGGCCCCUUCGGGGGUGCUCGAGUGGCGAACGGGUGAGUAACACGUGGGUGAUCUGCCCUGCACUUUGGGAUAAGCCUGGGAAACUGGGUCUAAUACCGGAUAGGACCAUGGGAUGCAUGUCCUGUGGUGGAAAGCUUUUGCGGUGUGGGAUGGGCCCGCGGCCUAUCAGCUUGUUGGUGGGGUGAUGGCCUACCAAGGCGACGACGGGUAGCCGGCCUGAGAGGGUGUCCGGCCACACUGGGACUGAGAUACGGCCCAGACUCCUACGGGAGGCAGCAGUGGGGAAUAUUGCACAAUGGGCGCAAGCCUGAUGCAGCGACGCCGCGUGAGGGAUGACGGCCUUCGGGUUGUAAACCUCUUUCAACGUAGACGAAGCGUAAGUGACGGUAGGCGUAGAAGAAGCACCGGCCAACUACGUGCCAGCAGCCGCCGUAA
rnacentral:rRNA from 1 species